UUUAAAUUUUAUAAACAAAACAACAUUUUUAUUUUUCAGGUUUUAAAGAGAAUUUAGAAAUUGAGCAAAGUUUUACUAAAUUAUAGUGAUCUUAGGAGCAAAGUUUACUUCGUUUGUGUUAUUGUUAAUCAAAAAUAUAAAAGUAAACAAAAAAGAAAAACUACCUCUAUCUAAUUUUGUCGAUGUCCAUUUCUUAAGAAGUUUCUCAUUAAAACAACCCUUAACUCAGGCAAGGCAGGGCUAAGACUAAAUUGAUUAUUAUGAACAGACCAUUAUGAUGAACCACUGAUAUUGACUCAGAGACAUGAAGAUGAGUGCUUUGACAACAAGACUGACUAGCUGAGCCAGCUUAAGAAUUAUGUGGUGUGUGUGUGUGUCUAAUUCCAGGAGCUCUCUAUGUCAGCCAUCCAUCUAUAUUCUUACUCAUUUUUGUUAAUUAUAAAAUAAAUUUGAUUAUUUA